rnacentral:tRNA from 32 species
GGGGGAUUAGCUCAGUUGGGAGAGCGCCUGCCUUGCAAGCAGGAGGUCACGAGUUCGACUCUCGUAUUCUCCACUA